rnacentral:tRNA from 1 species
GGGGUCGUAGCUCAGGAGCAGAGUGCCGGUCCGACAUGCCGGCGACGAAGGUGCGAUUCCUUCCGACCUCA